UGUGAAAGACAAAAGAUGUUUGGACAUUUGCAGCCUCACAGACGUCGCGCAGUUCAUCAUGAACGUAAGUGUAAAAAAGGCUAAGUUUUUUUUCUGUUUUUCUAACCCUUCUUUCUUAAAUCUCCGCUUCUGUUUGUUGAGGCACACACACAUACAUAGAGCACUUCACCUGAGCCAAUCAGCGUCCAGAAACCUGGAUCACAUGAUCUCCCCCGCCCUCACAGAGACAGUAGUUCAGUGCAGCGGGAGGCAGAGAUGGACGCUAAAGUUACUGUGCACCAUUUCGUUUUUCGGACUCUUUAAAGAUCGCCUUUUGGAUCAAGUGUUGUGCGUGAAUGUAUAACUAAGUUUGAGUCGUUAAUUAUAUAAUCGAUGCAAGACAAAUCUGCUCUUUUAAACGAGUGAUUAUACUUGUGAGGUAACGAUGUUUAUUAGGUAUCUGCGUGUUCUCAUAGUAAGUGUGCCUAUAGCCCCGUAGUUGUGUGUUUACAUAUCUAUCUACAUUAUUAAGAGUGUUAAAUGUUACAUUUGUUGUUAAUAAGACGAUUAUGUUCCGGUUUGAUGCAACGUUUAUUAUAUUUCUCCAUAUGUAACGAUAAACCUGUGGUAAACAACUUUCUGCGCGCAGGCGCUCUCUUAGCCCAGACAGAGUGGCGCUACACAAGCCGCUGGGCUCUAAUAAGGUGUCAAGUUACAACUGCGGGCUAUUGUAAGAUAGAAAUUACCGAUCGCUUUGUAUUAUAUCUUGCUAAUAACGUUUGUUUAAAUCUUAUUUAUUUAUUGUGCUGUGUUAUUGCCAAUAUGUUUGUGGUAAUUUAUCCCUACUGUUAUCAUGUAUAUUAAGUAUAUUCAUGUUUAUGUCACUUUUUAUUUGUAGAAAAACCACACAAUCUCAACCAUAGCUGCAUACAAACCAGUCUGUUGAGUGGUGACAAUAAAUGGGUUAUUCCCGUGAACCAUCUUUGUUCAGUCUCUAAUCGGACAAUCUUUGGUGGGUCAGCACCCUGAGCCGGCAAAUUAUUCUAUGGUGAAAAGCUUCUAAAAGCCCAACCAUUUUUUUCAGUUGAUGUUUUUGCAAAAGACUGCAUUCUGUUUCCAUCAUGGAGCAAGUCACACUGGAUGGUGUCUCCUUCAAGGCAUAAAAAAGUUGAAGGUUUGGGCAAUCGUGGCCUAAUUGUUAGAGAGUCAGACUUAUAACCCAAAGAUCACAGGUUUGAGUCUCGGUACCGGCAGGGAUAGUAGGUGGAAGGAGUGAAUGUACAGUGCUCUCUUCCACCUUCAGUACCACGACUGAGCUACCAUCAGACCUGCUAAAACAGAUUCAUCUGGAUGUUGUGUAUGAAUAAGGAUACUGGAUACUGUGGCAUACUGUGGCGGGGUAGCUUGCGAUCUGGGCCGAUCGGAAUUUCAACUCAGCUCGCGCCUGUCAAGAGAGGGAAGUGGGGGUGGGCUUGCGUGCCAUGUAGGCCAUUAUUGGACAAUUCUUAUAAAUGACGUUUUUUCUGGACCAAUCGGAACUGCCAUCUGUGUUCGCGCCUGUCAAGAGACACCUGACCUAAUGUGGAAACUCUGAUGGAAAUUGAAUUCAAUGUAAGUCAGUCUUUUUGGAGCUAAACAGCAGAUAUUUGUUUGCUUAAGUCAAAUAACGUCAGCUAGCGUUUUUUUUUUUCCAUACAGUUAGCCUAUGCUUCGAACAAAAUGCUUAAUAGCAAGCAAUACAAGCGGACCCAAUGCUGGAAUUUCCGUUAGCAAGAUAGCAAAUUUUCUAGCCAUCUAACAUUAUUAGCUAGUUGUAAUGAUAAUUCCUGCAUUGUCUGACCGUCUUGCUAACUAAAGUUAAACCAUUUAGCUUGCUACGUAAGUAUAUAGUAUUUCAGAUAGCCAACUUAUUAGGCUAUGUUCACACUUGGCGUCUUUUUUCAAACUGCCAGCGUCUGUUUUACAUUCUAAUCCUAUGGAGUAAACCGUCUUUUCAAAAAAGUCAUGAGCGCUUUUUUUAAACGUACGCCGGCGUCUUUUUCUGCAGCUCAAAGCGUCUUUUCAAGUUGAAAAAAGUCCAACUUUUCUGAAAGAAACGCCCUACGUCAAGCAUCUUUUUGACAGCUGACCAAUGACAAGCGAGUAGCCAGAACUGACGUUUCCAUAACAACAAGAACAACAAGAAAAAAUGGAGACGGUGCCGGUUGAUAGACUUUUAUUUUAUUGUUGUUAACCGACAUUCUCCUCCCAGUUAACUUCAAAAACCGACGCGCUGCCCACAAGGCUAUCGGAGCGGCGCGUCGGUUUUUGAAGUUAACAUGAACGCCGCUGCGCUUCGGGCGUCCCGCAGACUCGCAGAUCCUUCCCGAUCCCGUCCCCCCGUCACCUCGCUUCCUGUCUAAAUACAGAAAUGCUAAAAAAUAAAAGAUAAAACACCAGAGCAAGAGCGAGCUUCCUCUUUUCUCGAGAUUCAUAUGAUUGCAGCUGUUGUUAUAGCAACAAAAGACACCCUUGGCUGCAACGCUGCCAGAUUCUUUUUUUACUAAAAAAGCGCCGUUGUCAACUUUUUCUUGUCAAAAAAGACGCCAAGUGUGAACAUAGCCUUAGGUUGUAACCUUAUCAUUAGCCCCUAACUUAAGCCAGGUGCUCUGCCCUGAGUUCUGGCUACUACUCCAAUUCUGAGCUACCCUGAUUAACGACACGUUAUGGAGGUUGUCAUGUGCGCAGCAGUCAUUCAAGUCAGCUGGAUGUAGCCCAAGCGUAGCCCUACUUUUAAAGCGUUUUUGAUGUGUUGAUGUGGGUAGAUGUGACUGUUUACACAACAGCUGAUGCGAGAGUA